rnacentral:rRNA from 1 species
GGGAAAAGGAUGUGCAGUCGCGAAGACAACCAGGAGGUUGGCUUAGAAGCAGCCACCCUUGAAAGAGUGCGUAAUAGCUCACUGGUCAAGUGAUUGUGCGCCGAUAAUGUAGCGGGGCUCAAGCACACCGCCGAAGCCGCGGCAAUCAGACUUCGUCUGGUUGGGUAGGGGAGCGUCCUGCAUCCGGUGAAGCCGCGGAGUGAUCCAGUGGUGGAGGGUGUGGGAGUGAGAAUGCAGGCAUGAGUAGCGAUAAGGCAAGUGAGAACCUUGCCCGCCGAAAGACCAAGGGUUCCUGGGCCAGGCCAGUCCGCCCAGGGUGAGUCGGGACCUAAGGCGAGGCCGACAGGCGUAGUCGAUGGACAACGGGUUGAUAUUCCCGUACCCGUGUGUGCGCGCCCGUGAUGAAUCAGCGGUACUAACCGCCCAAAGCUUCGAUCACCAAUCACCUUCGGGUGGGCGGGGUUGAAGGGCUGCGCGGGAUCUUCGCUGGUAGUAGUCAAGCGACGGGGUGACGCAGGAAGGUAGCCGUACCAGUCAGUGGUAAUACUGGGGCAAGCCGGUAGGGAGAACGAUAGGCAAAUCCGUCGUUCGCAUAUCCUGAGAGGUGAUGCAUAGCCGAGUGAGGCGAAUUCGGUGAUCCUAUGCUGCCAAGAAAAGCCUCUAGCGAGUGCUCACACGGCCCGUACCCCAAACCGACACAGGUGGUCAGGUAGAGAAUACCAAGGCGUACGAGUGAACUAUGGUUAAGGAACUCGGCAAAAUACCCCCGUAACUUCGGGUGAAGGGGGACCCCUUACUGUCAUGGCACUUGCUGCCGGCAGCGGUGGGGGGUCGCAGAAACCAGUGAGAAGCGACUGUUUACUAAAAACACAGGUCCGUGCGAAGUCGCAAGACGAUGUAUACGGACUGACGCCUGCCCGGUGCUGGAAGGUUAAGAGGACCGGUCAACCACUUCGGUGGUGAAGCUGAGAAUUUAAGCCCCAGUAAACGGCGGUGGUAACUAUAACCAUCCUAAGGUAGCGAAAUUCCUUGUCGGGUAAGUUCCGACCUGCACGAAUGGCGUAACGACUUCUCAACUGUCUCAACCAUAGACUCGGCGAAAUUGCACUACGAGUAAAGAUGCUCGUUACGCGCGGCAGGACGAAAAGACCCCGGGACCUUCACUACAACUUGGUAUUGGAGUUCGUUACGGUUUGUGUAGGAUAGGUGGGAGACUGUGAAACUCACACGCCAGUGUGGGUGGAGUCAUUGUUGAAAUACCACUCUGAUCGUAUUGGGCUUCUAACUUCGAACCGUAUAUCCGGUUCAGGGACAGUGCCUGGUGGGUAGUUUAACUGGGGCGGUUGCCUCCUAAAAUGUAACGGAGGCGCCCAAAGGUUCU